AAGAUAUAAACAGAGGAGACCCGGGAGGGCACAGCCACCACGAUGACGCGCAUCCGCCGCCACAGCGCCGCCAUCUGCCCUAGCUUCUGCGUCGGACCUUCCAUGUCGCUGCUGCACGCCACACGCCGGUCUGCAUCGUCGCCGGCAGCGCGCGCACGAAAGGGCUGCUCCUACCUUCAUGCCGCUGCCCUGCUGCCUACGGCGUAUUGCUUCUGGCUGCACGCGGGCCGAUGGAGGAGAGAAUGCAGGUCAGACACACGAAAAUUGGAGAUAGAAGAAGAAGACUGCAGCGAAAAUUCAUCGAGUUCGUCAACAACCAAUGGUUCACGCUACAAGGGUUUGAGAGCUUUCGGUGCAGAUGAUAGUUCUUCGGUUUAAUCAUCCGUUUGAGCAAGUGUAUGGUUGCCGUUAUUUGGUUCUUUUGGUGCUCGUAUUGUUCUGUUGGCUGUUGCAAUGGUCGUGCAAGGCUGCAAGAAAGAACACCACGCGGUCAGUACAUUGUCCAAUCACACAUAUUGACAUAUAUGUACAAUAACGGCUUCAUGAAUUAUUCAACUUAGAAAAAAUUGGAUGCAGAGACUUCUUUUUUCCUUU